GAUGAACGCUAGCGGCAGGCCUAAUACAUGCAAGUCGAGGGGUAGAGCUAGCUUGCUAGCUUGAGACCGGCGCACGGGUGCGUAACGCGUAUGCAACCUACCCUUUUCUGGGGGAUAGCCCGGAGAAAUCCGGAUUAAUACCGCAUAAGACCACGAUACGGCAUCGUGAUGUGGUCAAACAUUUAUGGGAGAAGGAUGGGCAUGCGUGCCAUUAGCUAGUUGGCGGGGUAACGGCCCACCGAGGCGACGAUGGCUAGGGGAUCUGAGAGGAUGGACCCCCACACUGGUACUGGGACACGGACCAGGCUCCUACGGGAGGCAGCAGUAAGGAAUAUUGGUCAAUGGGGGCAACCCUGAACCAGCCAUGCCGCGUGCAGGACGACGGCCCUCUGGGUUGUAAACUGCUUUUGUACGGGAAUAAACCCCGCUACGUGUAGCGGGCUGAAUGUACCGUAAGAAUAAGGAUCGGCCAACUCCGUGCCAGCAGCCGCCGUAA
rnacentral:rRNA from 1 species